rnacentral:rRNA from 1 species
GAUGAACGCUAGCGGCAGGCCUAAUACAUGCAAGUCAAGGGGAUAGCAAUAUCACCGGCGGACGGGUGCGUAACGCGUACACAACGUGCCCAAGGGCGGAGGAAAGCGGCGGGAAACUGCCGGUAAUACUCCAUGGUGUUGUUGAGUGGCAUCGCUUAACAACUAAAGUACAAGCGCCCUUGGAUCGGUGUGCGUUCGAUUAGCUAGUUGGCGGGGUAACGGCCCACCAAGGCUUCGAUCGAUAGGGGGUGUGAGAGCAUGACCCCCCACACGGGUACUGAGACACGGACCCGACUCCUACGGGAGGCAGCAGUAAGGAAUAUUGGACAAUGGGCGGAAGCCUGAUCCAGCCAUGCCGCGUGAAGGACGAAGGCGCUCAGCGUUGUAAACUUCUUUUGGAUGGGAACAAUAACUCCGACUUGUCGGAACUUGAGGGUACCAUCAGAAUAAGCACCGGCUAACUCCGUG